UGUAAGACAAGAAGACUAACCGAUGCAGAGUAUUUGGCAGCACAUACUUAUAUAUUGCUUAAUUGUGAGGAAGUACAACCUUACAUUGCUUUAUAUGAAGAGAUGUUGAAGGAACUUGAUCCCAGGAUAAGUGAGUUAGAACUUGCAACACAACUACAACAAAAUUUUGGUUCUUGGUUUGAAAAUUAUGCACGCCAAAAUGAAAUAGAGAACAAGUAUAUAUGUGAUUUGUCAAAAAGGCCACUGAGAACUGUGAAAUCGUAUCCUGUGUAUUUUGUCAACGGGUAUAGAUUUCACACAGAGUCACAUGGUGAGAAUAAAUCAACAAUGAAUAGUGGUGUUUGUGUAAGUAGCACAUGUGAUG